CAGAAACGCCGCCCUGUCUCUUUAAUUACUGAGCACAUAAUUUCCCAUGACGCGCACUCUACAGACGUGCCGCGUCACGUCUUUAACUGCCGAACACAUCGUUUUCCACGACUGUACGCGCACUCGCAUCUUUGAUAACGGUGCACAUGGUUUUGUCUGACUGUACAUAACUGUUGUUGUUG